rnacentral:rRNA from 1 species
CCUACGGGUGGCAGCAGUGGGGAAUCUUGGACAAUGGGGGCAACCCUGAUCCAGCCAUGCCGCGUGAGUGAUGAAGGCCCUAGGGUUGUAAAACUCUUUCGGCGGGGACGAUAAUGACGGUACCCGCAGAAGAAGCUCCGGCUAACUUCGUGCCAGCAGCCGCGGUAAUACGAAGGGGGCUAGCGUUGUUCGGAAUUACUGGGCGUAAAGCGCGCGCAGGCGGUCCUUCAAGUCAGGGGUGAAAGCCCAGAGCUCAACUCUGGAACUGCCUUUGAGACUGUAGGACUUGGGUACGGGAGAGGUGAGUGGAAUUCCGAGUGUAGAGGUGAAAUUCGUAGAUAUUCGGAAGAACACCAGUGGCGAAGGCGGCUCACUGGCCCGUUACCGACGCUCAGGCGCGACAGCGUGGGGAGCAAACAGGAUUAGAUACCCCAGUAGUC